ACACAAUCUUAAAAUUUUUCCUUAGAAAAUUUUUUCCAACUAUUUCUUUUGUGUGUUUUUUUUAACCUAUAAAAGAUAAUAGAAUAUCUUUUAUGGACUGGAUUUUUAUCUCAUCCCUCUGCCUCUCAAAGGCACUCAGUUUAAUAGUUGCCUAUUAUUUCUCAGCGUUGGAUUUAAUUAAUAGGACCAAAAUGUUCCACAGUGAAUUCGUUUGCUAAACAUUCUGUCACUUCUGUGAUUUCUGCCUUUGAGAAAUUGCUUCAUUACAGAAAUCUAUCU
rfam:Oryctolagus cuniculus cont2.37544, whole genome shotgun sequence.